rnacentral:SRP_RNA from 2 species
GCCGGGCGUGGUGGUUCACGCCUGUAAUCCCAGCACUUUGGGAGGCUGAGGUGGGUGGAUUACUUGAGGUCAGGAGUUUGAGAACCAGCCUGGCCAACAUGGUGAAACCCCAUCUCUA